rnacentral:rRNA from 1 species
CGGAGGGUGCAAGCGUUGUCCGGAUUUAUUGGGUUUAAAGGGUGCGUAGGCGGCUUCAUAAGUCCGUGGUGAAAGCCAACAGCUCAACUGUUGAACUGCCAUGGAUACUGUGAGGCUUGAGUACAGACGAGGUAGGCGGAAUGGAUCGUGUAGCGGUGAAAUGCAUAGAUACGAUCCAGAACACCGAUUGCGUAGGCAGCUUACUAGGCUGUAACUGACGCUGAGGCACGAAAGCGUGGGGAGCGAACAGGAUUAGAUACCCUGGUAGUCCACGCUGUAAACGAUGAUAACUCGAUGUUGGCGAUACACAGUCAGCGUCUUAGCGAAAGCGUUAAGUUAUCCACCUGGGGAGUACGCCCGCAAGGGUG